rnacentral:lncRNA from 1 species
AGAAAAAGAGAUCAAAAUCCAAAAUCAAAGGUCCAGUACUUCAAAACCCGAACGCUAGAAAAUUUCAGUUUUCUACUGCAUUCCAGUACUCGCCCAAUGCAGUACCGGUACUCCGCCCAAUACCGGUACCCUGAGCCGAGUUCCUCAAAACCCGAGAGCUGACUAAACCAGUUCGCAACUGAGUUCCGGUACCACAUUCCAGUACCGGUACUCAACACAAACUCUGCAAACACAGUCAAAUCCUUCAGAAUAGUAAAAAAGCACUAUUCUCUCACUAAACUCCAUAUUUGCAGCAGCUCAGU